ensembl:processed_transcript 9330154J02Rik RIKEN cDNA 9330154J02 gene
GGCUGGCGGGCGAAGGCGCCCGCCGGGAGCACGGUCAUCUGGUUGCCGGUAAGGAAAAGGUUGCGCACGUAAGGCGGUAGAUCCGCCGGCACCUCCAGCAGGUUGCGGUUCACGCACUUAACCGUGCGCGCCGCCUCGGAGCACUCGCACGCCGCGGGGCAUCUCUCGGCUGGCGGAGGCUGCGCAGACCCCGAGGCCAGGAAGGCUGCCGGGGAGGUGGAAGACGAGGGUACCGAAGAGCUGGGGGCCGACGCGGAGACCCAACCCAGCAGCACUAGCGCCAGCCUUGCCAACCUCAGCCGUCCGUCCCCGGCGGAGGGGCCCCGGGAGCCCGCCCCAGGCAUCGCGGCUCGCGGUUCCCCGGAGCUGGGACAGCGCCCGCUCCGAAGACUCGACCGCCUGGGCCCGGCGGGCGCGAGCCGGCCGCAAGCGUCGACGGCAAACUUUCCUCGCGUGGGAGCAGAGGAGGGGACGCCAAAAGCUGGAACUUGGCUAACCCCGAGCCACCGGGCGUCCCCCUCCCGGAGCGGCACCCCGCCCUUCCCUCCAGUGAGUACGCACGGCGGGUCGGGACACGGGCCUUGGCGCUCCUCCUCCCGCCGCAGCUGGGGUGGGUGGCACCUCCUCAACUCCUUUGUUGGCGCCUCUCUCAGGGCAGGAUCGGAUGAGCGACCUGGGACAAGCGGGAGAGAAGCGUGAGGAGGAGUGACGGCCUCAGCUCUCAGAGUACGAACCAAGUUGUCCCCACACUAGCAACCCGGCCCAAGCUUCUGUGUGCGUCCUUCCUCCCUAGUGGGACGCGGUCCCCACUCCCAGGCGCUAAGCCUACCUCUUCCGGGCCCACACCAUCAGGACCCGGGCCACCUCCCGCCUGGCUCCUGCCCGGAUUGCCCUCCUCCCGCCUAGAACUUCACGCAGACCCCGCGGUGUCCAGCGAGCAAACUUCUCCCUUUUCCGGAUCCCAGCUCCUACCGCCCCGGCCGACCACCUGCCUUCCGGGGUCCCCGCCCCCGCCGCUCCUCCCCCUCCCACCUUGGGAUGAGAGCGAAGUUUCGGGUUACGGGACUCUUAAGAGCUNNNNNNNNNNNNNNNNNNNUUUUUUGGUACCUCCUUGGAUUCCCCCGGCUCUCUUCACGCCCUAGUAUAGAAAGGAACCCUGGUCCCGCCUCCAGGCUCCAAGCCUGGCCGCUCGGUCCCCACUGCUCACCUCCGCACCCCGCGCCUGCAAAGCCAACGGGCCACCCGAGUCCACGCGCCUUCCCAGCUCCUGCUGCGGGCGCCGACUCUCCUCUCACCCCAGCCCCUGGCCCAACCUCCACGGCUGGGAAAAACCAAGCCGGGGGGCGGGGGAGGGCCAGGGCUGCAGGAGAGAUCGCCGCCGCGCUGGCCACCUCUGCUGCCCCAGGUAGGGGCUUCAGGGAGGGAUACGAGGGGCAACCUAGGCUGGGCGACUCCCCCAGGCGGAGAUAAAUGAGCAACGCAUCCCGAGAAGCGCAGGUGGAAGCAGAAGGAGCAGAAGUUCCAGCUCACCUUCGGCUACGAGAUGACUUUGAGAUGACCUGGAGAAAGACCCUGUCUUGAAACAAUCCCAGAAAGAAGAGCAGGCUGAGCCAUUGUCAAGCCAGCUCAUCAGACAGAUCACUGGAAGAAAAAAACCUGACAAGACGCCGCAAGAAAAGGAAACCACAGAGCGCGACCACGUAUGAUUGUAGAUGUAACAUCCUUCCGCUAAAUUAAACCUAAUCAAACCCAGAGACAAGCAAAAAUGACUGUAAUCCAUGACUACGCAGGAUUCACAUCUAGGAAUACAAGGAUGCUUAAAUGAAAAGAAAUUGACUGUGGCAAUACAAAUUACCAAUGGAAACAAAAGAAAACAAACAAACAGACAGAAACAAAAUAUGGCCAUACCAUCUGAUGUGGUAGAGUAUUUAGCAAUAUUCACCAUCCAGUCUGAUAAAAGAAAACACCCUGCCUAAUAUAAAUGAAAGAAGUCCCUAUUCUGGUUAAGAGUACCAGAAACCAAACUAAUACCACAAAGAGCACACCUACAAUGGCAUGUAAUGGCAGGAGAUAUGAUUUCCUGUUAUACUGAUGAUGCACAGGGGAGAAUAUGCUGCAGCCUUAAACAUUCAUAAAAUGAAGAGUUAUAUUUUUAAUUUCUUGUGAUUUUUUUUAUAUAAUAAAAAGUCACAUUGUCAGAGAAUAGAGUUGGUCUGUCUCCUCCUGCCUAGUCUGACUGCCUCAUGUUCUUGCCUGAUUGUCUUAUGUGGCAUGCCCAAUACAAUCUUGAAAAAAAGCUAGGUAAGAGCAGACAUCCUUGUUUUGGUAUUUACUAUCAUGUGAAACCAUUCUGUCUUUAAGCAUUAAAUGUUAUCUUAGCUGUGGAGUUUU